AUUGAACGCUGGCGGCAGGCCUAACACAUGCAAGUCGAGCGGAUGAAGGGAGCUUGCUCCUGGAUUCAGCGGCGGACGGGUGAGUAAUGCCUAGGAAUCUGCCUGGUAGUGGGGGAUAACGUCCGUAAACGGGCGCUAAUACCGCAUACGUCCUGAGGGAGAAAGUGGGGGAUCUUCGGACCUCACGCUAUCAGAUGAGCCUAGGUCGGAUUAGCUAGUUGGUUGGGUAAAGGCCUACCAAGGCGACGAUCCGUAACUGGUCUGAGAGGAUGAUCAGACACACUGGAACUGAGACACGGUCCAGACUCCUACGGGAGGCAGCAGUGGGGAAUAUUGGACAAUGGGCGAAAGCCUGAUCCAGCCAUGCCGCGUGUGUGAAGAAGGUCUUCGGAUUGUAAAGCACUUUAAGUUGGGAGGAAGGGCAGUAAGUUAAUACCUUGCUGUUUUGACGUUACCAACAGAAUAAGCACCGGCUAACUUCGUG
rnacentral:rRNA from 1 species